rnacentral:rRNA from 1 species
CGAUGGCGACCGGCGCACGGGUGAGUAACACGUAUCCAACCUGCCGUCUACUCUUGGACAGCCUUCUGAAAGGAAGAUUAAUACAAGAUGGCAUCAUGAGUCCGCAUGUUCACAUGAUUAAAGGUAUUCCGGUAGACGAUGGGGAUGCGUUCCAUUAGAUAGUAGGCGGGGUAACGGCCCACCUAGUCUUCGAUGGAUAGGGGUUCUGAGAGGAAGGUCCCCCACAUUGGAACUGAGACACGGUCCAAACUCCUACGGGAGGCAGCAGUGAGGAAUAUUGGUCAAUGGGCGCAGGCCUGAACCAGCCAAGUAGCGUGAAGGAUGACUGCCCUAUGGGUUGUAAACUUCUUUUAUAAAGGAAUAAAGUCGGGUAUGUAUACCCGUUUGCAUGUACUUUAUGAAUAAGGAUCGGCUAACUCCGUGCCAGCAGCCGCGGUAAUACGGAGGAUCCGAGCGUUAUCCGGAUUUAUUGGGUUUAAAGGGGGCGUAGAUGGAUGUUUAAGUCAGUUGUGAAAGUUUGCGGCUCAACCGUAAAAUUGCAGUUGAUACUGGAUAUCUUGAGUGCAGUUGAGGCAGGCGGAAUUCGUGGUGUAGCGGUGAAAUGCUUAGAUAUCACGAAGAACUCCGAUUGCGAAGGCAGCCUGCUAAGC